AAAAAAAAAUUUUUAUAGUUUAAAAAUUUAUUAUAAAUUUAUUUUACAUACAAAUUUUUGUAUAAAAUUUUAAUUAUUUAAAUAAUAAUUAAAUUAAAUAAAGUAGUAAUUAAUAUUAAAAAUUUAAGAAAUUAAGAUUUAGUAAUAUGAAAAUUAAAAACAAAAUUCGUGCCAGCAGUUGCGGUUAAACAAAUUUUAAAAUAAAUUUUUUUAGUUAAUAAUAAAUAUUUUAAUUUUUGAAUUAAAUAUUAAAUUAUUAGGUGAAAUUUUAAUUUAAUUAAAAUUUAUAAAAAAUUAUGAAUUAAUAAAUUUUAUUAUAAACUAGGAUUAGAUACCCUAUUAUUAAAAAAUUAAUUUUAAAAACUAAAAUAGUAGGUAAUUUUUUAUUGAAACUUAAAUAAUUUGGCGGUAUUUUAGUUCAUUUAGAGGAAUCUGUUUAAUAAUUGAUAUUCCACGAAUAAAUUUACUUAAUUUGAAAUUUUGUAUAUCGUUGUUAUAAAAAUAUUUUAAAAGAAAAAUAAUAUUUUAAAAUUUAAAAUAAAAUUUAAAUCAGAUCAAGAUGCAGAUUAUAAUUAAGAAUAUAAUGGAUUACAAUAAAUUUAUUUAAAUGAAUAUUUAAUUGUAAAAUUAAAUUGAAGGUGGAUUUAAAUGUAAUUUUAUUUAAUUUAUUAAAAUGAUUAAAAAUUAAAAUAUGUACAUAUUGCCCGUCGCUUUCAUUAAUAAAUUGGAAUAAGUCGUAACAAAGUAGAGGUACUGGAAAGUGUUUCUAGAAAGA